AGUUCUUUAACGAAAACGUUGAUAAGCUUAUCGAGGGAUUGAAGGGUGUAGAGAACCAGGAUGAUCCAGCAAGCCAACCUGCAUUCAUAACUGAUUGUGAACAGAAAUUCGGAGAAUGUGAACUUGACGCAGGCACUGAUGCCUGUAAACGAUUGGAGUGCAUGAAGAAUUUUGGAGGAUGUCUUAAAACUGACCUGUCGUCCGAGAAAUCUUCCACGCCUCCUCCAAAGAUGAGUCCCUGCCUUGACAAGACAAAUACAUGCUUCGAACUAGCUCAAGAAGACUGCACAAAGAAGUUAGAAUGUACAGUGUGCAGCAAGUACUGCAUGAAUGAAGAUCCAAACCCACCGUCCUACUGCACAGCCUUCUAGGCUGGUAGUCACCCGCUGGGAAAACCAUCUCCUUCAGUCAAGAACAUUACGCGUAAAAAGGAAAAAUAGCAAAAAAAAUUAAUGGUGACGGGAGGGAUUUUCAAGAAGCUUCUGUUGAACUAUAGAGAUAGUUUGAGAAUAAAGCAUUG